UGCACGUGUAUGUAUGGGUAUGUGGAAGCCAAAAGUCAGUAUCAGGUGUCUUCCUCAAAAACUCUUUACAUUUUUGUAUGGAGAGGGCAUCUAUGUCUCCAUGUGUGGACACAUAUAUGUGGUGCAUGUGUAUGUCAAGGCCAGACAUUCUCACUGGGAUUACAGACAUGCCAUCAUGUUCACCCAACAAUCGUGUUGGUGUUGGAGACUAUAGGUCUCAUAUAGUAUGGCGAAUGCUCUGCCCACUAAACCAUCUCCUUGAUCCAAGAAGUUAGGGGUUAUUUUGUUUGUUUCGCACUGCUGGGGAUUGAACUGUAGGCAGGCAGGCUGGGUCAGAGUUCCACAGUGAGCAAGAUCCUCAUGGUCUCUCACGGAUCUGGGAGCACAUUAAUCAACGAGGCUAGCCUGUCCGUGAGCUCCAGAGAUCUACCUGUCUCCCUCUCUUCAGCACCGGCUUACAGGCCUGCACUACUGUGCCCUGUUUUUAUGUGAUGGGGAAUCUAUGGAAUGAGAGACAAGCGAAGAGCAGCCAUGUCACACUGGGUCUAGUGUAGGGACGUGCACUCUCUGUGUGGUACACCGUUCUAAAGCACAAAAGGAAAGAACACUUUCUCCACGUGCUGCAGUGUGGAAGAAUGGGGUGUGCCAUAGGAAUGGGUAGCGCCUACCUGCUGGGGGACACAGGUGACCUGAAGAACUGGCAUAUAGCACUCUACCCCGUGGGAUUCCUGGAGGCCUGAUCUCUCACGUAGCUUCAGCAGCUGCAUUGACCAUUGGGAAAAACCUUCUAGAACACCAGUCCCCAAGUGCUGGGGUAUGAAGGGAGAAAUGGGCUUUAGUGGUUUGGAGGAGUAAGUUAGGGCAUAGCUUUGUGAGAGGAAUAGAGGGUCCUGCCUCUUUUAGGAACCAGGCAUAGCCAUUGUCGCAAAUGUCAACAAGACCAUGCUUCUAUCUUAGGCAGGGGACAGAGCUCUGAGACUCUCUGGCUUCCAUGAUUCCCUAUGGCUUUGGUUACUCCUCAGUUUGGUGGAUGCUGGCUACACAGCAGUUUGUGUUGAUAAGAGCUGACAACUAGCCUGCAGAGGAAAGAGGAAACGAUGCUGGAGGGAGGAGAGGCAGAGGGACAACAGAUUAUGGGGAGGGUGACUGAGCCCCCAGCCCUGACUCAGGUAAUGGCAGGAUCCAGAUUGUAUGGUGUGCCUGUUAUCUGUCAACCGAAAGUCUGACAACUUAGAAAAGCAAACAUGCUCAGCUCGCCUGGCCUCGGUGGUGGGGGGAGGGGACUGGGAACAGUUCAGCUAGCAGUUCUGACUGACUGGCCAUCAGACCAUCCUGGUGGUUAUCAAGCUGGUGGUGACAGGCACAGUGGAUGAGGUCUUGCCUUCAAGCCAUACCCACGGCUGGCUACAGGAGGGAGGCAGCGCCUCAUCCCAUGGGCCUUCAAUGACUGCUGUUAACCUAGCUUCUCUCAGGGCGAGUCACCAGACAGAGGUAGAAGCUGACAGCAGUAUAAACAUAGGGUGCAGCAUGGUACCUUUACAAUCCCUUCUGGUUAGUCUUUUGAGGUAUGUGUGUGUGUGUGUGUGUGUGUGUGUGUGUGUGUGUGUGUGUGUGUGUGUGUGUUUUGUUUUUGUCUUUUUUGUUGUUGGUUGGUCGGUUGGUUUUUGUUUUUCUAUUUUUUGGUUGUGUUUUUUGUUUUUGUUUUUGUUUUGUUGUUGUUGGGUAUUUUUUUUUGUCAACUUUAUACAAGCUACAGACAUUUGGGAAGAGGAACCUCAACUGAGAAAAUGCACCCAUCAGAAUGGCUUGUAGGCAACCCUGGGGGACAUUUUCUUGGUUAAUGAUUUAUAUAGGAGGGCCUUGCCCACAGUGGGCAAUGCCACCCCUGGGAAGAUGGGCUUGGAUUUUUUUUUUUUUUUUUUUGGUAAGGAACCAAGGUGAGCAAGCCAACAGAAAACAAACCAGUAGGCAGCAUUCCUCCAUGGCCUCUGCUUCGGUUCCCGGUUCCUGCCUCCAGGUUCCUGCCUUGGCCUCCCCUGGAACCUGAAUUGUAAGAUAUAAGCUGAAACAGACCUCUUCUUCCCCAUGUCACUUUUGGUCACGGGGUUCUAUCACAGCAAGAGAAAACAAGACACAAGUCAAACUUGGAAGUGGCACACCUCCUUUCUCAAUGGCGUUGAGGCCUUGUGCAUCCCCUGAAGAUCAGUAAGGUAAAUGCUUGGCCCAUCGGUGCGGUGGGAGGUUAUGGAGUAUUUAUGAGGUGAGAGGCCAAGAGAAGCCUUUGGAGUCCCUGGGAUUCUGAGGACUGUUGGAACCUCACUCUCUUGUACUCCCUCAGUGAGGCGAAGUGUUUGCUCUACCACACACCCGUCAGUGACACACCAAAACAGGGCCAAAUCCACAAGCUAAGAAGCCUAUGCCCUUGAUAAGUUUGUCACUUUGGACAUUUGUGACAGUGAUAGGAAGCAGGUCAGCAUAUCUCUGCCUUAUGUGACAAGUCUCUCUGAAGGCAGGGCCUUGGGAGUCAGCUUGUGGCAGUAAGAGGCCACUCCUGCCCGGGACGGUAUCUUUAGCCCCAUCCCAGCCAUAAGAGUAGAGUGGCUGGCUCCUGCCUUCUGCUUCAUCUGGCUCAUCUCUCUCGGUCUCAUCUGCGUCUUCCCUGUCUCAUGCAUUGUGCACAGAGCAUGCUUCACUAAUUCUCUCGUCGAAUGAGGAAAUGAACUCAACAGAAAAAGAUCCAACUCUGGUCCUGUUUCAGGGAGCCCAUAGGUCAGGGAACAAGGGAGAGAGAGCUGGUGACUAAAGGCAUGUGGCCCCAUUUUAAGCACCAAAAUAAUCAUGAAUAGAAAAGCUACAGCCCCUUCCCUGGGAAGUGUGAAGAGCAAGAGAUGGGACAGGCCCAGCGUCUCACACAUAAACACGUGAGCACAAAUGAAAGCCUUGUUGGAAAGGAAAGGGCAGGGCAGGUGAGCACAGAGACCCUGGCUUGGCCGCAGGUCCCAGAAGCACCUUUGAGGAGGAGGGUGGCUGGCAGCUUGUCACCAAAUCAGAAAACAAAGGGGCCAGCCUCGGACCUCUCCAAGCUGAGAUUAGCUAGAAAAACCUGUGAAUCACUUACUUUUUUUUUUUUUGUCACAAACACAGUUAAUGCUUGAGAGUAAAGAGUAAAAAGAUUGAGCCCCAAAUUAAACCACGAAGGCACCCUCCCGCCAUGCGCGCUGCACCCCGCAAGGUGUCUUCUUACAGAACUGUAGAGUCGCCCAGAAACAAGCAGCUAAUUAUAGCCCAGCCAUCUGCGGAGCUAAAACAAGGGGCUCAUCAACACUAUCUUUCAGGUUUUUCACUAAGUCAGAACAAUCUGCUAAAAAUAUCCUGUACUGUAUCCGCAACGCCCCCAAACAAUGUGUUUUCCCCGGCACCGCAGCCUGCCAGUUCCCCAUAGCCCUGGAAGCCCAGGGGGGAGCAAGAAGCCCAGCUGGCAGCCGCCAUGUCCUUUCCGUGCCUGGUUUUCAUCCUGAGUGUCGGCACUGGACAGUAGAGGACAGAGAGGAGCGAAAGUUAGGACCGGUUCCCAGCGUGGACCAGAACUCCAGGCAGAUGUCCACUGGGGGAAAAGUUGGUCCUACCUGUGGUUCCAAGGCUCAAGUUUGCUCGUGGGGUACUGCCUAAGUCCUCUCCACGGCAGCAGCAACCGGGAAGAUCUGCGCUGCUCUUUCCGGGAGCCUCCGUGCACCAGGGUUCCAGAUGACGUUUGGUGUUUUCCUCUGGCGUCUGGAUAUGCACAGAGUGCAGUCUCUUCUGGUUUCCCAGAUUUCUGAAACACAAGGUGAGAGAAGAGUUGAAAAUAAAAGGUUAAGAAAAGACAUACAUCUGGAAAGAACCCAGAUGUCCCACAACAGAGGAAUAGAUACAGAAAAUGUGGUAUAUUUACACAACGAAGUACUAUUCAGCUAUCAAAAACAAUGACUUCAUGAAUAUCUCAGGCAAAUGGAUGGAACCAGAAAAUAUCAUCCUGAGUGAGGUAACCCAAUCACAAAAGAACACACACGGUAUUCACUCAAGAUACAAUUCACAGACCACAUGAAGCUCACAAGGAAGGACGACCCAAGCACAGAUGCUUCAGUCCUUCUUAGAAGGAAGAACAAAAUUAUAUUCAUAUGAGGAAAUACAGAGACAAAGUUUGGAGAAGAGACUGAGGAAAGGUCAUUCAGAGCUUGCCCCAUCUGGGGAUCCAGCCCAUAUACACACAGCCACCAAACCCAGACAAUAUUGCUGAUGCCAAGAAGUGCAUCCUGACAGGAGCCUGAUACAGCUGUCUCCUGAGAGGCUCUGCCAAAGCGUGACAAAUACAGAGGCGGAUGCUUGCAGCCAACCAUCGGACUGAGCAUGGGGACCCCAAGGACUAAACACUAACCAAAAGUACACAUGGAGGAACCCAUGGCUCCAGCCGCAUAUGUAGCAGAGAAGAAGCCCUUGGUCCUGUGAAGGCUCGUUUCCCUAGUAUACGGGAAUUCCAGGGUGUUGAGGUGGGUGGGUGGGAGUGGAAGCAUCUUCAUAGAAGCAGGAGGAGGGAAGAUGGGAGAGGGGGGAAAGGGGAUAACAUUUGAAAUGUAAAUACAUAAAAUAUUCAACAAAAAAGAAGAAAAGACACGCAGAGCUAAGAAGAUGUCUCAAUGGAUAAAAUGUCUGCCACACAGCAUGAGGAUCUGAUUUCAAAUCUCCAGCACCCAAGUAAAAUCCAAGCAGAGCAGGAUGUGUCUGGAGUCUCUGUGCUAGGGCAUAAAAAUGUGCAGAUCUCAGAGGAUCACCAGCCACACAGUUUAACCAAAUCCCAGGCUUCACAUUUAGUAAGAGACCCAGCCUUAAAUAUUAGGGUACAGAAGUACAAAAGACAUUCCAACUUCAACCUUAGGCUUCCACUCAUGCCUGCCAGCACAGUUGAGCAUGCCCGUGAGCAUAUGCACAUACAUGCACACACACACACACACACACACACACACACACACACACACACACACACACACAUGCACGAGCACACACAUACCAACAUAUCUAGUAAAAACAUAAAUAAGAAAACAAACGAUACCCCGGUCCAUUUUCCUUUACUAUAAUGACAUAACUAAGGCUGGCUCAUGUAUGAAAAGAGGUUCAUUUAGCUCUGAGUUCUAGAAGUUUAGGGCCUGGUGCUGGCUUCAGCUCAGCUGUGGGGAAGGUGUUGUGGUGGAAGUCAUCAGAGUCUCAGAGCAGAGGCCCAAGGGAGAAGUUCCAGGGUGAGAGGCAGGUAGCCAAGGAGUGGGCUUCCCCAGAGUGGUCUCUGACAUACACACAUGACUCACUGCUGCAGGGUGCUCUCUUAAUAAUGGGACCUGCCGUAAUCAGUGGUACCCGCUGUGUGGAGCUGAGGUACAGUGCCAGCCAUCUUUGUCUGGUCUGACCCCAAGCUGCCUCAUGAAGCAAAUUUACCUUUGGACCUUUACCUCCUGUGGCCACAGAUCCUGGAAAGUGUGAAGAAUGAGACAUGAGAUGCAAGGUGAGGACGGAGGUGCAGCAUGGGUGAGUGGGGGGAUGUGGUCAGCUACAAUUCUUAGCUCUAGACUUAGCAGGCCUUGCAGAGCCCACUCUGGGUCCUGAGCGUCUCUGGUUACCUGCACAACUAGCACCUCCUGAGAGUAAUGAGUGCAGCCAUUCAUAGGCAUUAUCAUGCCUCUGUGUGGUGUGUUUUCUGUAUGACAACACGAUUCUCUAACUUGGGAAAGUUUAGUUAGCUCUGAGUUCUGCUGAGGGACGCUGGUCCAGCCUGUCAGCAGAAGCACCACAGUGGCACUGGAGCAUGUGUAGAAGGAAGAGAGCUGCUCAAGGGAUGAAUGUGUUCCCACAGACUCACUGUUUGAGGGGUCCCAAGAGUGCUGUCUUGUAAUCCCUUCUGAGGACAGCACCCCAUGGGAUAGGUAAGGGCUUGCCACUAGACUACCUCCUAAGGGUCCCACUGUCUCUACACCUUAUGCACCAAGGUGUUGUGGUUUGCCCUGAAGUUAUCUGUAUUUGGAUGCUAAGUCCACUGCCCCAAAGACAGCAGCCUAGUCACGUACUCAGGAAUCAGGUGACUUCACCAGAACCACUUCCCCAUUUUAUUUGUACUGUACAGGUGAGGGGCAGGUACAGGAUAGAAGGAGGCCUGUCAUUGGAGGAGAAGGAAGGUGGGCUGGAGAGAAGUUUGAAGGAAGAGGAGGAACUAGGGGAGAAAGGAAGAGACAGGAGGAGGAGAGGGUGAGAAGCCAUGGCAGGUGAUGUUAGGAUUCCGCUCUGUGUAUUUACAGGUUGUUAUCAAUGUUCCUAAGGGAUGGAUGGUACCGGGCUUUGUAUGUUUUAGUGGGCAAUUAUAUCUUAUCAAUUGGAUCUAA